GACGAACGCUGGCGGCGUGCUUAACACAUGCAAGUCGAACGGAAAGGCCCUGCUUUUGUGGGGUGCUCGAGUGGCGAACGGGUGAGUAACACGUGAGUAACCUGCCCUUGACUUUGGGAUAACUUCAGGAAACUGGGGCUAAUACCGGAUAGGAGCUCCUGCUGCAUGGUGGGGGUUGGAAAGUUUCGGCGGUUGGGGAUGGACUCGCGGCUUAUCAGCUUGUUGGUGGGGUAGUGGCUUACCAAGGCUUUGACGGGUAGCCGGCCUGAGAGGGUGACCGGCCACAUUGGGACUGAGAUACGGCCCAGACUCCUACGGGAGGCAAGAGUGGGGAAUAGUGCACAAUGGGCGGAAGCCUGAUGCAGCAACGCCGCGUGCGGGAUGACGGCCUUCGGGUUGUAAACCGCUUUCGCCUGUGACGAAGCGUGAGUGACGGUAAUGGGUAAAGAAGCACCGGCUAACUACGU
rnacentral:rRNA from 1 species